rnacentral:rRNA from 1 species
GCAAGUCGAACGGAAAGGCCCUGCUUUUGUGGGGUGCUCGAGUGGCGAACGGGUGAGUAACACGUGAGUAACCUGCCCUUGACUUUGGGAUAACUUCAGGAAACUGGGGCUAAUACCGGAUAGGAGCUCCUGCUGCAUGGUGGGGGUUGGAAAGUUUCGGCGGUUGGGGAUGGACUCGCGGCUUAUCAGCUUGUUGGUGGGGUAGUGGCUUACCAAGGCUUUGACGGGUAGCCGGCCUGAGAGGGUGACCGGCCACAUUGGGACUGAGAUACGGCCCAGACUCCUACGGGAGGCAGCAGUGGGGAAUAUUGCACAAUGGGCGGAAGCCUGAUGCAGCAACGCCGCGUGCGGGAUGACGGCCUUCGGGUUGUAAACCGCUUUCGCCUGUGACGAAGCGUGAGUGACGGUAAUGGGUAAAGAAGCACCGGCUAACUACGUGCCAGCAGCCGCGGUGAUACGUAGGGUGCGAGCGUUGUCCGGAUUUAUUGGGCGUAAAGGGCUCGUAGGUGGUUGAUCGCGUCGGAAGUGUAAUCUUGGGGCUUAACCCUGAGCGUGCUUUCGAUACGGGUUGACUUGAGGAAGGUAGGGGAGAAUGGAAUUCCUGGUGGAGCGGUGGAAUGCGCAGAUAUCAGGAGGAACACCAGUGGCGAAGGCGGUUCUCUGGGCCUUUCCUGACGCUGAGGAGCGAAAGCGUGGGGAGCGAACAGGCUUAGAUACCCUGGUAGUCCACGCUGUAAACGGUGGGUACUAGGUGUGGGGUCCA